rnacentral:rRNA from 1 species
GAUCCUGGCUCAGGAUGAACGCUGGCGGCGUGCUUAACACAUGCAAGUCGAACGGACUUGUGUUGCGGAAGCCUUCGGGUGGAAGAAAUACAAGUUAGUGGCGGACGGGUGAGUAACGCGUGGGUAACCUGCCCUGUACCGGGGGAUAACACUUAGAAAUAGGUGCUAAUACCGCAUAAGUGCACAGAGUCGCAUGACUUAGUGUAAAAAACUCCGGUGGUACAGGAUGGACCCGCGUCUGAUUAGCUGGUUGGUG